rnacentral:rRNA from 1 species
AACGAACGCUGGCGGCAUGCCUAACACAUGCAAGUCGAACGAGACCUUCGGGUCUAGUGGCGCACGGGUGCGUAACGCGUGGGAACCUGCCCUUAGGUUCGGAAUAACUCCCCGAAAGGGGUGCUAAUACCGGAUAAUGUCUUCGGACCAAAGAUUUAUCGCCUUUGGAUGGGCCCGCGUUGGAUUAGCUAGUUGGUAGGGUAAAAGCGUACCAAGGCGACGAUACAUAGCUGGUCUGAGAGGAUGAUCAGCCACACUGGGACUGAGACACGGCCCAGACUCCUGCGGGAGGCAGCAGUGGGGAAUAUUGGACAAUGGGCGAAAGCCUGAUCCAGCAAUGCCGCGUGAGUGAUGAAGGCCUUAGGGUUGUAAAGCUCUUUUACCCGGGAUGAUAAUGACAGUACCGUGAGAAUAAGCUCCGGCUAACUCCGUG